rnacentral:lncRNA from 1 species
UUUUUUUUUUUUUUUUUAAAUCAGGAAUCAUGUCUGAAAGCUGCCACAACCAGUUGUAUAGGCAUGUCAAAAUGACUUUAUACAGUCAAUAUGAAACAAGCAUUAAAUAUUUUUUCUCAUGUUGUUGCUUUUAUCAUUAUGAAUUCCUUGCUUGUUGCCACCUAAGAUACGAUGGAGCAAGCACAGUCUUAAAGAAGAUUUGCUGAUUUUUUGUUUUUCUCAGCAGACCAGAGACAUCCAUAAAAAUUCAUCAGAGAGCAUUUUACUACUGAGCUGCAAAGGGAAAAACUUAAAAUGGAUAUGAAAAGUGAAGAAAGUGAUCAUAGGAGAAAACCAUUUCAGAUGACAAGAGCACCUCAAAGGCAGCAGCCUCAAGGAGCAGCCAUGGCCCCAGACUUGUCGCACGGAUGCAGAAAACUUAAUGGAGGAGGCUGAGGAACUCUUCCAGACUCUGGGAAAUAUGUCUCCAAGAAAGCAGACAAUACCCCUGCCCUCUGUGGAAGACUGACAAAUAUACAAGUGCAUAUGUAUAUAUAGACUGUCAGAUGAUUAGAGACGGGGUUUCACAGUGUUAGCCAGGAUGGUCUCGAUCUCCUGACCUCGUGAUCCGCCUGCCUCGGCCUCCCAAAGUGCUCACCCUCCCUACCUUUAGCGUCUGCCUCACCUCUUGUCUCUGUGUUCCUCUAUACCUGUGCUGUCUUGUAUGGUCACCACUAGCCACAUGUGUCUACUGAGAACUUGGAAUGGGGCUAGCCCAAAUGGACAAUAUGAGAAAAAUGUAAAAUAUCUCAAUACUUUUCGUAUUGUUUCAUACGUUGAAAUACAAAUAGUUUGAAUAUAUUUGAUUAAGAAAAA